UACUGCGAGUGAAGUGGGAAGAGCUCAGAUUUGAAAUCUGGCGGUUCUGGCCGUCCGAGUUGUAAUCUAGAGAAGUGUUACCUGCGCUGGGCCGUGUACAAGUCUCCUGGAACGGAGCGUCAUAGAGGGUGAGAAUCCCGUCUCUGACACGGACUACCAGGGCUUUGUGGUAUACUCUCAAAGAGUCGAGUUGUUUGGGAAUGCAGCUCAAAAUGGGUGGUAAACUCCAUCUAAAGCUAAAUACUGGCGAGAGACCGAUAGUGAACAAGUACCGUGAGGGAAAGAUGAAAAGAACUUUGGAAAGAGAGUUAAACAGUACGUGAAAUUGCUGAAAGGGAAACGCUUGAAGUCAGUCGCGUUGGCUGGGGAUCAGCCUCACAAACAAGUGUGGUGUAUUUCCUGGUUGACGGGUCAGCAUCAAUUUUGACCACUGGAGAAAGGCUUGGGGAAUGUAGCAGCCCUGGCUGUGUUAUAGCCUCUUGUCAGAUACAGUGGUUGKGAUUGAGGUGUGCAGCACGCCGCGAGGCCGGGGCUAAAAUAGCCCACGUUCGUGCUUA
rnacentral:rRNA from 1 species